rnacentral:rRNA from 1 species
ACUCCUACGGGAGGCAGCAGUAGGGAAUCUUCCACAAUGGGCGCAAGCCUGAUGGAGCAACACCGCGUGAGUGAAGAAGGGUUUCGGCUCGUAAAGCUCUGUUGUUAAAGAAGAACACGUAUGAGAGUAACUGUUCAUACGUUGACGGUAUUUAACCAGAAAGUCACGGCUAACUACGUGCCAGCAGCCGCGGUAAUACGUAGGUGGCAAGCGUUAUCCGGAUUUAUUGGGCGUAAAGAGAGUGCAGGCGGUUUUCUAAGUCUGAUGUGAAAGCCUUCGGCUUAACCGGAGAAGUGCAUCGGAAACUGGAUAACUUGAGUGCAGAAGAGGGUAGUGGAACUCCAUGUGUAGCGGUGGAAUGCGUAGAUAUAUGGAAGAACACCAGUGGCGAAGGCGGCUACCUGGUCUGCAACUGACGCUGAGACUCGAAAGCAUGGGUAGCGAGCAGGAUUAGAUACCCUGGUAGGAUAGCC